UCCCAGCCCCUCCCCCUCAUCUCGACAAAAAAAAAAAAGACAACCCGCGGCCUCCUCUCGACCCCUCGCUCACUCCGUCUCCCCAUGCCGGCCUCUCCCAACGCGGCGGCCACGACGGCGCGCCUCCCCCGGCGAUCUGUGCUCCCGCCGCCCCUUCCUUCCUCUCCCUCUCCCCCGAUGUGGCGGCAUGGAGUCCGGGCCCCAGCGGCACCACCUGACCGCGGGGCGUCUUUGCGGCGCGACGAUGUCCUCAGGCUACGACGGAGCACCGCCUGUGUGACCUGUCGACGCUCAUCCCCGGCCACGGCAGGGCAUCAACAGGGCUUUCCGAGCAGGGCCCUUCGGUGGCUGGCGGCGCGGGUGUUCUCCGAGGCAGGCUCCUCGAAACCCUAGGUUUACGUGCUCGCGGACACCGCUGUCCAGUGCCGGGCUCGGGCGCGGUAGUCUCAUCGAUGACCACGAGAGCUCCAGCAUGAGCAGGCCUCCGCCACCGCCGUACUAGCGAUGGCCGUGGUUGUCACCUUCGAUUUUGGAACAGCGGCGUGGGCCAUGUACCCUACGCUCAGGUUUCCUCUCAUCUUUUUAUCUAGGACUCUCUAUUUGCCUUGUUCCUCAGGUAAACCAGCUAUACUAUAGCCUCUCUUUUUAUUCAUUUUUUUGUGUCCUCUAUCCUUAAAUAUUCGCACUAAUUUAGGGAAACAUAAGAAUAGUGCUAGAGACCUAACUAUGAGCUCAAUAAGCGAGAUUGGGUUCACAUGCGCUCAAUAGCAUCCUAAUUUGCUGUGAUGCUACAAUCUUGGUGGCUUCCACAUUUUUCUUCACUUACAGCUUCUCUAUAUGGCUAAGUUUUUUUUUUCUCAAAGCGGCUAUCUAUAUUAAUACAUAAAUAUCUGCACUGCAUUGGGGUCAUCCUGGAUGAGAAAUUUUAGAUAUCAUGUGACUAAGAAAGUAGUUUUUUAGUCCGCGCAUGCCACAUGUUGUCUCCUAGAGUGUUGUCCUGCAUAUAUGUUGAAUUUUUGACACCACAAUACUUUGCUUCUUAGGUAAUUAAUUGUUAUCCAUAUUUAGUUCAUCAAACCUCCUCAAACGGUCAAACUAAUUGUUUAAAUUUGAGUUAUGCAAUUAGAUGCUUUCUGCUCAAAUUUUUGGUCUCAAAUAAAUUAUUGCUCCAUAAUUAUUUACCCAACCCUCUAGAAAGAUAGAGCCCAAAACAAUUACUAAUUUGGCAAUGCCAUUUUUGGAUUAAUCUGUCUCAUCUCUCAAAUUUUGCUUACUACCUUGCAGGAAAGAAACUCCUUUACCUAGAAAGAGUGUGCACCUUCUCUUACAUUGUUAGUUGGAUUAAUCACUGCUGCCACAACAUUUGGUUAAUCGGCCUAUGAUUUUUCUGUUGCACCUGUUCUUUCAGAUGUCUCUGUUCUGCUCUCUGAACUUCCCAGUAUGUCUGGGUGAAUUACCAAUACAUAAUCAAGCUAUUCAUGAAGCUCAAAAGCCAUCAGAGGAUAUCACCGAUAGCCUCGAGGUCGCUGGUGUUGGAGCCUUCAAUUCAGUCGAAAGACUGAUGCCUUCCUUGUUCAAGCUGGAGAUCCAGAGGUACCGCCUUAGGGUUUUUCCAAUCACAACAACUGUCAAAAUUGGUAUAGUACACGAUUUUUGGGUGCGCUCUACCAUAACCUUCUUAUGAAAAUUCCUUUUUUCAUAGUCAUACAUGUUUACAGUUGUUUUAGCUUAAUGAAAUAAUACAUUGUACAUUGCUGGUGCAUAUAGAUGUACGCCUGUAUCAUGGAUUGAGUAUGAGUGCAGGGCUAUAUUUAUUAACAGCUGACCUAAGGUGUAGUGAGCCACAGGAUCACGUUGUUUGACCUUUUAUUUGAAUGUUCUUUACAAGUUGUUUGCUGUUGCGUAAAAUCAGAGGCAUUGUAGUUUUUUUAGAUUCAGGCAUAUAUCUGACUGUAAUACCUUAGUAUUUCUUAAACUUAAUGUUGUACUAAAUUCCAAACCAUAGUGCAUGCAUGCCUGAAUGCAGGGGUGACAGACCUAGCAAAAGAAACACCAGAUAUGUUACAGUCAGAAAGCUUUUGUCAUUCUCUACAUAUAUUGUAAAAAAACUCCAUUUUAGUUGUUGUACGGUUUGGGAUUCCGUAACUUUUCUUAAUUUAGCAACAUCUAACUGCCAAAGGCAAAGGGUUUUGAAUAUAGCAGUUAUUUUGAGAAAACUGGCUCAGUGAUUGGUUCCAAUACUUUAAUAUUACUGACUGAACCUGGUUAUGAACCAUUUUCAGCUAACAAAAUAAUGUAUAUGGGACAGGUUGAUAAACCAUUUUGAAUAUGCACCAAUACUGGACCUCCUCUAAAGAAAAGAAGACCGUGUGGGUGCAUCGGCAAUUCAUAUAUUUUUUUAACCAUCCACAAAGGAACCUUUUUUAUAGCACCAAAAGCCUCAUGAAGCUAUUAUGGUAGUUUUAGACCUCCGGUGGUUUCAAAGGGCCACCAGGUUUGACAACCUCAGGUAGGUUUCAAUCGUCAAUGAUGAACUUGGUGCUAAUAGAAAUUUAAGAAAACCUUCGUGUGCACCUCUACCUGUUUGCUUCUCGUGAAAUUGUUGGUUUAGAAUUUGAUAGUUCAUACGUAAUUCAACUACUGAUAGUGAAGUCAACUGUCUGCAUAACUUCAUUUUUUAUCUGCUUAAAUUUACCAAAGCUUGAUAUGAUUAUUUCUCCGGUGCAAACAUAAGUAUAGUUCCAGUUUUGUGCACAACUCAAAAGAAGCUAUGUGAAAGUUGGCAGGAUCUAGCUGUUGUCACAAAAUUUCCAUCUCAGAGGUACUUCUCAAGGUCAUAAUUUAAAAAUGUAGAUGAGUUCCUGAGCUUCAGAGAUUGAAUCGACCCCAUACUAACAUCCAUAUAACAUCAUCAUGUCUUAUCAGAUGAUACCAGGUACUGGGCAAGAAGCAACUCAACUGAAUACGAACCUGGCUGUAAAUCCGACCGCAGCAUCAACUACUAAUCGCUCUUCCACAAUUUUAGCAAGCUGUUACGACAUCCUUGUCUCUACUUUAUUUAGUGGACUACCGAGUUAAGAACCUCCUUGUAUUGUAUAAUAUUACUACCCAUCGUUAUCGCUAUACCAUCUACGAUAUAUGCCAUAUAAAUGUAACCUUCCAUGGAUUUUACCCAUAUAACAAUCUAUGUACUAAAUAAAACUUCACCUUUUAUCCA